ACUCCUACGGGAGGCAGCAGUGGGGAAUCUUGGACAAUGGGGGCGAACCCUCGAUCCAGCCAUGCCGCGUGAGUGAUGAAGGCCUUAGGGUCGUAAAGCUCUUUCGUCCUGUGAUGAUAAUGACAGUAGCAGGUAAAGAAACCCCGGCUAACUCCGUGCCAGCAGCCGCGGUAAUACGGAGGGGUUAGCGUUGUUCGGAAUUACUGGGGCGUAAAGCGCGCGUAGGCGGAUUAGUCAGUUAGAGGUGAAAUCCCAGGGCUCAACCCUGGAACUGCCUUUAAUACUGCUAGUCUUGAGUUCGAGAGAGGUGAGUGGAAUUCCGAGUGUAGAGGUGAAAUUCGUAGAUAUUCGGAGGAACACCAGUGGCGAAGGCGGCUCACUGGCUCGAUACUGACGCUGAGGUGCGAAAGUGUGGGGAGCAAACAGGAUUAGAUACCCUGGUAGGAUAGCG
rnacentral:rRNA from 1 species